GGAGAGCGUUCUAAGGGCGUUGAAGCAUGAUCGUAAGGACAUGUGGAGCGCUUAGAAGUGAGAAUGCCGGUGUGAGUAGCGAAAGACGGGUGAGAAUCCCGUCCACCGAUUGACUAAGGUUUCCAGAGGAAGGCUCGUCCGCUCUGGGUUAGUCGGGUCCUAAGCUGAGGCCGACAGGCGUAGGCGAUGGAUAACAGGUUGAUAUUCCUGUACCACCUAUAAUCGUUUUAAUCGAUGGGGGGACGCAGUAGGAUAGGCGAAGCGUGCGAUUGGAUUGCACGUCUAAGCAGUAAGGCUGAGUAUUAGGCAAAUCCGGUACUCAUUAAGGCUGAGCUGUGAUGGGGAGAAGACAUUGUGUCUUCGAGUCGUUGAUUUCACACUGCCGAGAAAAGCCUCUAGAUAGAAAAUAGGUGCCCGUACCGCAAACCGACACAGGUAGUCAAGAUGAGAAUUCUAAGGUGAGCGAGCGAACUCUCGUUAAGGAACUCGGCAAAAUGACCCCGUAACUUCGGGAGAAGGGGUGCUCUUUAGGGUUAACGCCCAGAAGAGCCGCAGUGAAUAGGCCCAAGCGACUGUUUAUCAAAAACACAGGUCUCUGCUAAACCGUAAGGUGAUGUAUAGGGGCUGACGCCUG
rnacentral:rRNA from 1 species